ensembl:snoRNA SNORA62 Small nucleolar RNA SNORA62/SNORA6 family
CCUGCACACUGUGAGAGCUUGGAGCUGAGGCCGCUGGCCGAUGAACUCACAAGUGUAGGUAGUGUGCUACACGAGGGGCAAGUUUUUCGCUACCACCACAAGGGUCUCUGGCCCAAAAGUAUGAUUUUAAGGAAUGAGAGCUUAAUUA